GAUUAAGUUAUUAAGGGCGCACGGUGGAUGCCUUGGCACUAGAAGCCGAUGAAGGACGUUACUAACGACGAUAUGCUUUGGGGAGCUGUAAGUAAGCUGUGAUCCAGAGA
rnacentral:rRNA from 1 species